UAGGUGGGAGGCUUUGAAGCACGUACGCCAGUAUGUGUGGAGCCGUCCUUGAAAUACCACCCUUGUAGUGUUGAUGUUCUAACGUCGACCCCUAAUCGGGGUUGCGGACAGUGCCUGGUGGGUAGUUUGACUGGGGCGGUCUCCUCCCAAAGAGUAACGGAGGAGCACGAAGGUGGGCUAAUCACGGUUGGACAUCGUGAGGUUAGUGCAAUGGCAUAAGCCCGCUUGACUGCGAGAAUGACAAUUCGAGCAGGUGCGAAAGCAGGUCAUAGUGAUCCGGUGGUUCUGAAUGGAAGGGCCAUCGCUCAACGGAUAAAAGGUACUCCGGGGAUAACAGGCUGAUACCGCCCAAGAGUUCAUAUCGACGGCGGUGUUUGGCACCUCGAUGUCGGCUCAUCACAUCCUGGGGCUGAAGUCGGUCCCAAGGGUAUGGCUGUUCGCC
rnacentral:rRNA from 1 species